GACCUCCCGGGCCCUCCCCCGACACCGCCCCUUCCCGGGACUGGACCCCCUCCUCUGCUCUCUGGGCGCCCCCUGGACUCCGGGCAGGCCCCUACUCCUGCCCGCCCAGGGCGAGCGCGCCCGAUCAUUGACUUUCAGGGAGCCCCCCUCCCCCGCCUCGCAACUUUCGGUCGCUCCCCCGCCCCCUGUCCCAUGUCCCGCCGCUCCGACGUGGCUGCUGGGGGUUGGGGGGGGUGCGGUAUAAAGGGCCGCAGGCUGCGCGGGCCAAGCCCCGGGACGUGGCGCGUCCACUCCAGCGACCUCAGUUCCAGCCUCAUGGUUAAACUACCACCUCAGCUAAAAGGAACCAGGAGAGGGUGGCAGAGAACGUCACCCAGGGGAGACUGCCAUGCUGCUGUGGGUCAGAAGUGACCUUAACAGGAAACCUUGCUGUCUGUGAUCCUAACAAUGCAACGAGAUUGUAUCCAGAUCAUGAAAAACCUCAGCACAGAAAUUGUGCUUCUAGACGUUUCCAUCAUAACUGGAUUUUCCUACCGAUGAACAGGGAGCAUGUUACAGUCACCAACCACAAGUGUUCUCUUUUCACCCCAUUUUGCUUCCUUUGGAUCCAUGGCAUUGAGAAAUUGGAAGAAAGACUAGAUCAUCUGAUCAAACCCAUAAGUUUGUUUUGUUUUGUUUUGUUUUCUUAAAAUGGCCAAACAUUGAGAGAAAGAUAGGGAGUUUUAUGCAUCACUAAAGUUACCUGGUACUGUUUUUUGUUCAGCAAUUUUAAAUAUUUGGAAGCCUUACGGUUACAGUUGCAGGUGAUGGAAUUGCCGAGAAAGGAGAGCUCAGGGAGCCAUCAGCUCCUAAUCACAUCCCUUGAGCUUCACCAGAAAAUCUUUGGCUUUUUUUUUUCUUUCUUUCUUUCUUUUUUUUUUAACUCCAAGAAACGCUCACUCCCCUUUUAGUACAGCAGCCCACUCCCCUGGCAGAGGUAAGCAGACCCACUUUAUUCUAAAAAGCAGCUCCCAAACUAGGACAGAAUAGAAAGAAUAGUUAUGGCACAUCUGAGGAAUGAGCGUGGGACAAAGUGCAGGUUCCUGGACCUUAAAUGGGAGGACCUGGCCCACCAGGUAGGCCCCAGGGCUCUGUAAGUCUCCUGAACAUUCCAUCCUGGCCCCUUCCUUGUGUCUCAGUUUCCACCCGCUGCAUCCAGGGACUGCUCUGAGCUUUCCGUGUCUGGUCAAGGGAAUGUGCUUCGCCACUGCCGGUUGUUCAGUGCAGGUCAGCACAGAGCAACGUGGCCUUGCUCCAUCCAGGUGAGCUUGAUUCACCUGUGAUCUCUCUUAAACUCACUUCACAGGUGAAAACCACCUUCCCACCCCUCACAGCCACUUUCGAAGGAGCAGCCUGCCUAAAUCCUACCCACCAAGAACUUUAGCAAGAACUCAAGGAUACAGCAACCCGAGCGCAUAUUCAGUAAGAAAUGCACCGUUAUUUUUUACUUAGGAAAAUUAAUCUCACAUAAUCUUAGCAAUUAAUCUCACUUUUAAUAAGGGCCUAUUAAUAAAAGAUGUGUCUUUACUUCAACUGUGUAUCCAGAAGAACAGUAUUCUGGAAAUCUGAAAGUAUUUUUCCUGGUGUUGAUGGUUAAAUGUCUAGAUGUAUGUAUUUUUCUAGCAUCCCAGUUUCCUUAAAAUAAAAUCAGUGUGCUCAAAAUACCUCAAGUCAUCUUUUUAUAAGUAUCAUAUGGAGAAAGGGAAAAAAUGCAAAAUUUCAAAGAUUUUUGGGACUACCUAGAGGAAAUGCAAUUUGUUUGCAACAUGGAGAUAAAGCACUCGUGUGUCAUUUUCUGACACUGAACCUUAUAUAUAUGUUGAGUAUCUAUAUGCAAAGAAUGACUAUAUUUUUUAAAAAAAUUAUGUUUGUACUUAUUAAUCAUUGUCCUCUAUAUUCAUCUGUCUUUGGAAAUAGAGCUUUCAGAAGAAAUAAGUACAUUUAGAAAAACAUUUUCGAAGAGAGGACUCAUCGUGCACAAAUCAUUCUUCGUUUAUUCCAGCAUUUACCAGGGAGAUCAACUCAUAAUGACCUUGAGUUCAGUGAAAAGCCUCUCUACUAAGUGAAAUUAUACCAGUAGGCAAAGUGCCUCCUGGAGCAACGCAGUGAGAAGAUGAGCUGUUAAGAACCCUGUAGCACCGUCUGUCAAAUCUCAUUUCAGACCCUCCUUUCUGUUCCCGUGUUGUUGCCUUAAUUCAGAAUGUCAGUUUCUUUCCCUCCUCUUACCAGUCUCCCUGUCACCCCUAGUCUACAUCACUGUACCGCAAUGAUCACCUACAAACACCACCCCUACUCCCAUCAGCCUUAAUAACACAGGACACCCCCCACAAUUAUUUUUAAAUUGCAAUCGUCUUGGCUUUGAAAAAAAAUUGUUUUUCUUGCAUCUAGGUUUGACCAUGGAACUUAGCCAUGAUGAAUAAGAUAAAAGUCUGUGAAAUUCCAAGAAAGGCUUCCUAAGAGAGGCAAUAACUAACUGGGCAUGCUCUUUCUUGCCCUUCCCUCCCAUUUCCAGAUUCCUGCCUGGAGCUUGAUUGUAAUGGUUGAAAUUCCAGCUACCAUCUUGGACUCGUAAUCUCAGGAUCUGAGCCAUGAGCUAAGGGAGAAUGUGACUCCUAACUGACAGAAGUGUGCAACUCUCCCAGAGUCAGCAUCCCUGUGGGUUCAUCUCGGCAUCACCACCCACGCCGCCUUCUCUCCCUCCCUCUGAUGCCUUCCUGCCUUCAAUGUAGUUUGUUGCCUGGCAUGUUCUGGCACUGGGCUGCACCUUGGGAGGAGAGUAGAGAGCAGCACAGCCAAUGCCUACCCUUUCAGGCAUUACAGCCCUUACAGGAAUUAAGGAAGGUAGGGGUCAAUGACUGAUUUCACAAGUAUGUUGGCAUAGGCCCUGGUAAGUGCUAUGAAAGACAAGUGUAGGGGUGUCUGAUUUAGUCUGGGGAGUCAGAACAGGCAUCGUUGAGGAGGUGGCCUUUGGCCUGACUUUGGAAGGAUGAGUAACAAAAAAAUAGGGGAAGAGAGAAUCCAGGAAAAAAGCAGAAAUAUUUAACUUUAGAAGUUAACACUUGUUAAAAUAUCAAAGAUAGUAAUUGCAAAAGAAUAGCCACAGACAGAAUCUUCUGAAACAGUAGAGACAAAAAAAGAUGAAAUACAGACAGCUUGGUCAAUCAGACAAAUGGAAAGAAAAAAAUUGUGCAAGAGAAAAACUGGAAGAAAUUAAGUAAAUACAUAAAAUCUAAUUAUAUCAUAAAGCACAUAACAACAAGGGGAAAAAUACACACCAGGCAAACAUCAGUCAGAAUAAAGCUAGUUUACAAAUACUAAUAUUAGGAACAAAUUUUUAGAUUAAAAUCUUUUUUGGUAAAAAUAUUCACCAUCUAAAGAAAGUUCAGUCCAUUAGGAAAUAUAAAUACAUAUAUAACUAACAAAACAGUUUCAAAAUAGAAAAAGUAAAAAUCAGAAUUGUAAGGAAAAUUGACAGAUCCCCAGUCAUUGAUAGUGCACAUUUAUCUCACUAAUUGAUGAAUUCACAGGGGGAAAAAUAGUAUGAAUUUAGAUAUUCUGAGAAAAGCAAUUAUCAAGGUUAUUCUGAUAUGGUAUGGAUAUAUCAAACACUCAUCCAAGAAUUACAAAAAUCAAGUCUGGGGCCACAAAGCAAGCCUCAAUUAAUUCUGAAUAAUUAGUACCAUAACUGGGGUACAAAUUAAUAAUUUAAAAAAGAAUUUAGAAAACCUCACAUUUGUUGGCUUUAAGCCAUAUUUUUAAUAACGUGACGAGGAAUAAUGGAAA